rnacentral:lncRNA from 1 species
GUGGCAGUGACUACACCCACUGUGCUGACUCAGCAGGCAUCCAGUCACCCUAGACAGAUCCCAUUUUGAUUUCUACAGAUCGAGCCUCAAAAGUCUCAGCUGCAUGAUUCUACACAUCCAGCCAUUUGAAGUGUGCUAGGAAAUGAAGCAUUCUAAGUCAAGAUAAUAAAAACAAUCACUGCACUACAGUGAGUUAUUUUCAUCAGCACCCUCCCAUUUUGUUGUACCAGCGAAGCAAAUGUGUAAGAAUGAUGCCUGAGCUAGUUUCUCCUUUGAAAACACUUUCUGGGAAAGCAGGUAUUUGCAAACUAAAUAGACACGAAUGCCACCAAUAAUAUUCUUACACGCCAGGUCAUUCUUCAUGGAGGACAAAUCUCUGGAGGAGGCACUACAUGAUGGGUGUCAUGGGAGAAUAUAAUCUGAUAGGAGAUGGUGUCUACGAUGAAAAUAUCAUGGAGAGCCCAGAUAUCUGUGUCUUGAGAUGAUGUGGCUACAAGGAUUUUGUCCACACUACUCCAGGUUUUGCAGUGGGGUAUGAGUGUGAGCAGACAACAGAUGAACCAAACCUUGCUGUACACAGAUUCUUGAGCAGUCUGGCUGGCAGGCACACUGGGGUUUCUGAAGCCCUUCAAAUUAUUCACACUAGAGCUGCAGAACAACUCAUCAGGAACUAUGAGUUCUUCCCUAGUGGAGGGCAUUAAAUAUUAACUGAAUGUUUACACAUGCCUUCAACAAGAUGGAAUGUGCCUGUGCGCUGUAGAAGAUACCUUGACGGGGCACAAGGUAGUAAGAUGUUUCUCCAGCUGUAAAAUGGAAUUGAAUAUGGUAUAUGACAUAUUUACCUCACCUAGAAGUACUCAAAACAAUGUCUAGGACAUGGUAAUGGCUGUGAAGUGAUCGUUGCUUCUGGAAGGACCUUGGAGGACUCAAGAAGGUAGUGAUGGGCUCACAUUUGAGGCAUGGGUUGGAGAGCUCUGAAAACUGGAGUAAAAAGAUGACAGAAAGCAGAGUCAUCAGUAGAGAGCACUGAGGUACAAUCAGAGGAGUUGGCAGAUGUGAAAUACUCCAAGAAGGAGCCAGUGUAAGUCUUGAAGGCCCAUUAGACGAAGACAGGGGAAUUAAUUAAUACCCAGGUUCUAGUUCAAAACAUGACUUUCCAUUUGUACCCUAACUACGCACACUCAUACAUACAAG